AACAGAAAUAUAUAGAGCAACACUAAAAACUUAUGAUACUAGUUGGGGCAGCUUAUGUAAAACAUUGAGUUCAUGAAAUUUGCCAGAGACAAAUGUCCCAUGUGUGUCAAACAUAGAGCCAUCACCCCUCCUCUGACAGUAUGCAUAAUAUUAUGAACAAUCCAAAGGACUAUUCAUGGUGAUUUGUCUGUUUUAUUUAUUACAAAAGAAACUAAGCUUUAUUGCCACAUUACAUAACUAUAUAUUCCUCAUUCUUUUGGUUUGAUGACAAGCCCCACAUAACUAUAUAUUCCUCAUUCUUUUGGUUUGAUUGCAAUGCCUUUGAUGACAAGCCCCUGCUUCCACAUACCACCAUCAUAUUCAAACAAAGAUAUCUCCAUCUCACCACCAUCUUUCUCACAUGCUACAAACUCACCAACCGGAACCUCUAUCCACCUUCCCCUUAACAUCUCCAUUAAAUUCACCUUGUGUUGCUGCUUCUUUCCUCCUGGAAGAACAAGUCUAACAUUUAUCGGAAGUUCCCAACCCUGAGCCGGAUCUUUCAACAUUACAUAAAAUGAAACUUGAUAUAAAAUUCCUGGUGAAAGCUUUCUAGUGUCAAAUUUUCCAUGCACUUCUAGCCAACAAACUCUCUUCAGUUCAGCUACCUCACUCAUCCCGUCGCUACAAAACAUAUCUUACAUUAAUCACGACUAAAAACUAUGUAACGUAAUAUGAAAUCACUCAUAUGUAUGUGUACCUUGCAUCUUUUUGCUGUAUCCAUUUCCAGUAAAUUGGAUUCUCUGCCCAAGUGAUUGAUAGUGCUCUUGCAUACAACAUAAAACAGUUGGCGUUGGUCUUCUUCUCAACCCAAUAUUUCUACAAACAACGGUAAUCAUUUCUCAAUGCAUAAGUAAUAGUUUCAUUGACAAAUAACUUAUACUAAAAAUAAAAAUUCAUUUUGAAACUUGCCUUAGUUUUAUCAUGUAAGAACACACCAGCAUGUAGUCGAUCAAACAUCUUUUCCUUGAAAGAUCUAUCAACCGGUGAGUCUGCAUCCCUUAAUAUGUGCUCAAAGUUGUGAGGAAAACUUAGUUGUGCUGAUUGAGU
rnacentral:lncRNA from 1 species